UACGGAGGGGGCAAGCGUUGUUCGGAAUUACUGGGCGUAAAGGGCGCGUAGGCGGCCUUGUAAGUCUCGUGUGAAAGCCCUCGGCUUAACUGAGGAUCUGCACGGGAUACUGCGAGGCUUGAGUUCAGGAGAGGAAAGCGGAAUUCCGGGUGUAGCGGUGAAAUGCGUAGAUAUCCGGAGGAACACCAGUGGCGAAGGCGGCUUUCUGGACUGACACUGACGCUGAGGCGCGAAAGCUAGGGGAGCAAACAGG
rnacentral:rRNA from 1 species